GGCCGCCAAGCCCUGCUGGGGGCUCAGCGUGCGCCCCCGGAGCGGGGCGGCGGCCCCGGGGACCCCUUCCCGGCCCGGCCCCUCCAUGCUGGAGCCUCCCCCGCCCUAAGGCCGCUAUCCCGCGGUGCAGGCCCGCGGCCCGGCCCGGCCUUGUUGUGUUGCGGCCCGGAGGGCCGCGCUCUGCCGCUGGCCUGGCCGAGGCAUCUCAGGGUGCGGGUAUGGGGGGAUUUUGGGGCGCAGAGAUGCAGCGAUGGGUGUUAGGGGUCCUCGGGCCUGGGGUGGCCCUGUGUCACCAGGUACGGCUGCAUGCCACAGGUAUUACUAACGGUAAUAAUAACAAUAAAGCAGAGGGGCUCCAGAUUUUGGUGUGGAAAGUGGCUCCCAGAUGUGAUGGGAACGGCGCUACCCCAGGAGCUACUGGCACAUAUGUAAGAGGCAGCCGUGAUGCCCCAGCCCAACACUGCUCAUGUGAGGAAACAGAAAUGGGGUAAAAAGAAAACAGAGGGAAGGGGUCUUCUCUAAUAGACUGCAGAACAUUUGGAGGAAUGUUCUGUCAAAACCUGUGUGCUUCGCUGGCAGUGUUUUCUGCUCCUUGUCCUAAAAGUUAAUCAGAUUUUCUUCUGUUUUUCGAGAAAACAAUCACAGUUGAUCCAUGAAAGAUGCAGCCUAAAGUGUUCAAGCUAUCAGAAAUUACACACUAGGAGCAACCUCAUGGCAACAAGGAGGAUGAAAGAAGCCAAAGAGGGAAGAGCAGAGAAAGAUGUUUGCUGAUUCAUAAUCAACAGCAAGUCAGAUCUCAUAUGGACAUUUUUUAAAGAGGUUGAAGUAUUUAUUGUUCUUCACAUAUGCAUUGCAGUUCAGCACCGCGUAGCUGUUCACUCUCUCCCUGCUCUGAGUGGAAUGAGGGAAUCAGAGAAGAAACAAGGUGUCUUCAUGCAUCUUAAAGAACAGCAUCUGGUGUAAAGAAGCCCCUAACAGAAGCAUGAGAAUCAAACGUACCUCUUUGAGAGCUGCUGGUACAUGUGAUGAAGGUGAAAGGAGUGGUAAUUCAACCUAACGUGUUGCUGGAAGACAGCCUGGGAGAUCCUGAAAAAGAAGGGCUAGAGACGACUCAAACAGUUAAAAGGUAUUUUUAUUCUCUUCUUGGCUAAAGAAGUUGCACAUGGCCCUGAGGGCUAUCUGCCUCAGUGACUACACACGCAUUGUGUUUUGAAAUAGGACUGUGCCAGCCCCUCCCUGCUUCCCUAAUAAAUAGUUUAGCAAGACAGCGGAGCAUUACAAAACAAAUCAUUAUGUUAAGUGGCAAACUCUGUUUUCAGUAGGACUUGAACUGUAGAAUAGAAAAACUUUUUUUAGUUAUGUAUUCGUUGUUUCAAAACUGUGAACCCAAAACUAAACUUUGUUUCAAGCGAAAUUCUUGUGGCUACGUGUGUACGAGCUGUGACAGCACUUGGAAAUCCUCAGAUGUCAGAUACCAUAUAGACAUGAAAAGUGGGUUCCUCCAGUACAGACAUGAGCAAUUUCUUUCCUAAACUUACAUGAAAAUACAUGUUGCGAUUUGACACUUUCAUAUAUGAUUGGACUGAUGGGACUUGAGAAUGGAACAAAAGUAAAAGCAAAACACGGCUUCUGAAAGGUCUCUCUGAUGAAUCCCCUUGUUUCUUCAUCCUCACUUGACUUGGGAUGCAGAGUCUGUGAGCUCCUUACAUCGGUGGGGGUUUGUGCUCUGUAAUAGUGUGCGCAUGAACUCGUCAGCAGUUCAUCGGCUUGCCAAGUUGCACCAGUAAGGAUGGAGACUCCACUUCUCUGUGCUAUUAAUGUCUGCACAGACACCCUGACAACAAGUUAAAAGUCCUUUACAAGGCAAAUGUGGCACUGUAAUGGGAAAAAGUAAAUUUCCAGCACAAAGAUACACACUGGUGGAACAGCAAUAGCAUGAACUAAGUAAUGUGAAGAAAGGAUUGUGCCUCCUUCAGGAAAAUGGAAGUAAUUUAAGAUCAAAGCUCCAAAACAAAACACAAGCUUAUCUUUAAGUGCCUAAUGGUCGCACGGUAGUAGUAGGACGCUCCAUGUGCCUGAGGUGUGCACACACGUGGUGUGCUGGGACACACCAGUGUCGCUGGCUCAGCGCAUUAACACACGUGUUAUCAGACAGGCGGGCAAGAGGCCAAAGCCAUGUGGGAAUAUGGGAAUGCUUGCAAGUGUGGAAGGAAUAAUUAUGAUCUCAUACCUUUGCUGGUGAAAACAGUGACUCCAUUUUAGAUUUAUAAAGGAUUGAGUCACAUACAAUUACUACUGAAGGAAUAAAUGGAAAAUACUGUCUGUUAAACUUUGUUAUCAGCAGCAUUUUCACUGUAGGCAGGAAAAAGUAAAAAAGAAAAAAUAUUCUACUUCUGUAUAUCCAGUACCAGUCACAUCAAAUAAUAAUUUUUAGAAAGUCCUAGAAUGAAAACUUCCCAAAGCUGAGGUGUUCAAUUCUGAAUGGGGAGUAGUUAGAGCAAAUGAAACAUUUUGAGAUUAACAGAUGAUUAAGCACAAACAGGAACAAAAAUGAAUCAGACAACCUGAAGGAAAACCUUAAGGCACAUUUGAGGAAGGAAAAGCUUUUCAGGCCCUUCAUCGUAUAGCAAAUAAACUGAAGCGGUAACUAAAGACAGAGUUGUGCAAUGUUGGUAGGGGAGGAGGCUGGGGAUGUCUUUCUGUUUAGGAUGACCCCUGUCUCAGAUGUCUGAUUUCUUUACCGAUGCUGGCCGAGAGGCAGUGAAGGAGAGCUGUGCCCUGACUCAUCUGAGCGUUCCAAAAUCCCUUCAGAUCAGCCUCACAUCAAAUGGCCCCUAAACCGCCGUCGGCAGAGGUACAUAGCUCUGCCCAGAGGGCCGGCAGCUGACUGUCAUCGGGUAGGCACAGGCGCCAUCGUACGGCCGGGAAGGGACGGGCUCUGUAGGCCGCGCUUGGUGCAGUGCCUGGAUAGGGCUGCGAGAAAGGGAGGGCAGCCGCUGGGGAAGCCUGCGGGCGCUCAGCGCUGGCCGCGCAGCGAGAUGCCAUCCAGAAGUGCGGGUGUUCUCCAGGGGAACCGGCACGGCAACGCGGUAGGAACGCCUUGUCCGGCGGUGAGCUAGAAUGGGCUCUUGAGGAGGGUACAGAAGUAACGCGAUAAAAAUACUAUUUUGAAAUGCUUGGGGAUUUUGUACGUAGGGAAACAAAAUCAGCAAGGACGUUACUGAAAAAUUCAUGCUUCUUCAGAAUGCAGCAUGGAGUGUGCCUGGACGUGGCACUUCCCAGAGACACGCGAAAGUUCCGGGAAGAAUUACUGACACAGUGCCGCAGCUUUGCGCCGUGUUACAUCACCCUGAAGUAACGCCGCCUGACACAACGCCCUCAGGCAGCAUCGGGCCCUGCAACAAUGCUUUAGCUUAACUUGAGCCGCUACGAAAUACUGUAGGAGAGGUCAAACAUCAGGGUCGCACAGAAGCUAAUGCAACCGGAGCUUAACUAUCAGAAUCUCUAUUGCCUUCAUUAUUUCCCUCCUGCAUUUUAUUCAGGCUAGCUUAAAAGAAACUCCCGUGAAAUACCAGGGGAGAGCAACUAGUCCUGCACUUCAGGAAUCUCUUUCUUACUGCCUUUAGGUAGGAUUACAAACCAAUUUUUUCCUGAAACCUCUUCUUCUUAAGGAACAUAAUGCAACAAAACAAAAUGCUAUCCUAAUUUUUUCGCUGAAUCUAAGCCUAUCCACACUAUUAAGACUUGAUAUGUUCCUCAGCGUUUUAUAAUUCUUCAAUGAACAGACCCCAAAAAGCAUCGCAUGCAAACAGAAGCUCUCAGCUUUCUUUAUUCCUUUUCUGCAUCACAGAAUUUUUCUAUUUCCAGCACAGCCACUCGCUGACCUUUUCCCAGUGAGCUAUUGUUGCAUAUAUGCAACAGUGUAAGUGACAAACGUACUAAUGCUUUUGAGAAACUGCCACUAUGUCACCCAAUAAUGACUACCUCCCAGGAGUAGGGGGAAAGCCAGCUUGUAGCUGUGACCAGCAGCACCACCUCACCUCUAGAAAGUGCUCCCUCUUUCCUUGCCAACGACAACCUUGGGACUGUUCUCUGUAAAUACUUUUUGUUUUGGCCAAGAUACUCAAAUAAUUAACCUCCUUACUUUUAUACGGUUUCUCUUCCUCUACUCAUUCAUCUAAAUGGUGGCAUCAUAAUUGGAUCUACAGUCAGUGAAUGCAGGGAGGCUGUACGCCGACACCAGCACAAAAUGCAUUUACUCUUGCUCUUGCACUGUUCAUAUUAGGCCCUCUGAUGCUGCUGUCACGUUUCACGUGUACGUCUCAACACAUGCCCAUUAUUUUUUACUCAUACCAAAGAGCCAAAGCUUUUCAGUUGGAGGAAGUGUUCAACUCUGUUGGCAAAAAAUAAUGGUACUUGACACUCCUCCUCUGCCACAGGGUAAUAAGAUAUAUAGCACGCUCCUUGCCACACACAGAUCACAGCCCACAAGUCACUUACACACGCACCUAACAUCCCUUCUCUUAGAAAGGGCCAGGAACAGACUGAGGUCCAGAGAGAGCUCUUCAACAACCACCAACUCUAAAGCAAUGCUUUUCCUGCAUGGCACAGCAUACACACACAAACCUAAGCAUUCCUUAAAAUCAUUUACAGUGUAUACCUACUUAAUAAAUUUGGUAUAUACCAUAGCAGUCGGUAUCAAAGAGUAUUUUAGACCCAAAUGAAGUAAUAAUCCACAGAUGUUCAGCUGGAAGGAUGUAGAUAUGACCAGUGCUCCGUAUUUCUUACUUAGCUAUGUGAAGGAGCGUUUUGGAAAGGUUAUAGCACUUAUUUUGAAUUGCAGACCAAGACAGCAAGGCCUAAUCUCCAAAGUAUCUGGAUGCCCAGAAACACCUACAGAUGCUUAACCAAUUUUGAAGCAUUCUGGCAUUUUUGUAGUGUUAGAUCCACACAUUCAGUACACCUAGGAAGAACUCUUCGGAGUGGAUUUCAACUUUGUGGCAGUAUUGUUCCUGCUCUCUGUGGUGGUUUACUACUUCUUUCGUGCCCCCAUGCCCAUAAAUUAGUUAAGACUUCAGUUUAUCUAAGUUUUUAGAAUUCAGAUUUACAGAAACAAGCUCCCAAAGCAUUGGAGAUGAAGUAUUUGAAAGACACAUUCAAGGUUUUCCACUGGUCGAGUAACAGAAGAAUCAGGAAGAACUAUAUCUGACACUCUCUUUUAAAAAGGAGAAGCACUAUAUAAAUAUUCAUGUAUUUAGUCUCAACACCAUGUGAGGUAGAAGUACUUUACAAACAGAGAAACAAGAACAUAGAUGGAAUAA